rnacentral:lncRNA from 1 species
AGGCAUUGAGGCAGCCAGCGCAGGGGCUUCUGCUGAGGGGGCAGGCGGAGCUUGAGGAAACCGCAGAUAAGUUUUUUUCUCUUUGAAAGAUAGAGAUUAAUACAACUACUUAAAAAAUAUAGUCAAUAGGUUACUAAGAUAUUGCUUAGCGUUAAGUUUUUAACGUAAUUUUAAUAGCUUAAGAUUUUAAGAGAAAAUAUGAAGACUUAGAAGAGUAGCAUGAGGAAGGAAAAGAUAAAAGGUUUCUAAAACAUGACGGAGGUUGAGAUGAAGCUUCUUCAUGGAGUAAAAAAUGUAUUUAAAAGAAAAUUGAGAGAAAGGACUACAGAGCCCCGAAUUAAUACCAAUAGAAGGGCAAUGCUUUUAGAUUAAAAUGAAGGUGACUUAAACAGCUUAAAGUUUAGUUUAAAAGUUGUAGGUGAUUAAAAUAAUUUGAAGGCGAUCUUUUAAAAAGAGAUUAAACCGAAGGUGAUUAAAAGACCUUGAAAUCCAUGACGCAGGGAGAAUUGCGUCAUUUAAAGCCUAGUUAACGCAUUUACUAAACGCAGACGAAAAUGGAAAGAUUAAUUGGGAGUGGUAGGAUGAAACAAUUUGGAGAAGAUAGAAGUUUGAAGUGGAAAACUGGAAGACAGAAGUACGGGAAGGCGAAGAAAAGAAUAGAGAAGAUAGGGAAAUUAGAAGAUAAAAACAUACUUUUAGAAGAAAAAAGAUAAAUUUAAACCUGAAAAGUAGGAAGCAGAAGAAAAAAGACAAGCUAGGAAACAAAAAGCUAAGGGCAAAAUGUACAAACUUAGAAGAAAAUUGGAAGAUAGAAACAAGAUAGAAAAUGAAAAUAUUGUCAAGAGUUUCAGAUAGAAAAUGAAAAACAAGCUAAGACAAGUAUUGGAGAAGUAUAGAAGAUAGAAAAAUAUAAAGCCAAAAAUUGGAUAAAAUAGCACUGAAAAAAUGAGGAAAUUAUUGGUAACCAAUUUAUUUUAAAAGCCCAUCAAUUUAAUUUCUGGUGGUGCAGAAGUUAGAAGGUAAAGCUUGAGAAGAUGAGGGUGUUUACGUAGACCAGAACCAAUUUAGAAGAAUACUUGAAGCUAGAAGGGGAAGUUGGUUAAAAAUCACAUCAAAAAGCUACUAAAAGGACUGGUGUAAUUUAAAAAAAACUAAGGCAGAAGGCUUUUGGAAGAGUUAGAAGAAUUUGGAAGGCCUUAAAUAUAGUAGCUUAGUUUGAAAAAUGUGAAGGACUUUCGUAACGGAAGUAAUUCAAGAUCAAGAGUAAUUACCAACUUAAUGUUUUUGCAUUGGACUUUGAGUUAAGAUUAUUUUUUAAAUCCUGAGGACUAGCAUUAAUUGACAGCUGACCCAGGUGCUACACAGAAGUGGAUUCAGUGAAUCUAGGAAGACAGCAGCAGACAGGAUUCCAGGAACCAGUGUUUGAUGAAGCUAGGACUGAGGAGCAAGCGAGCAAGCAGCAGUUCGUGGUGAAGAUAGGAAAAGAGUCCAGGAGCCAGUGCGAUUUGGUGAAGGAAGCUAGGAAGAAGGAAGGAGCGCUAACGAUUUGGUGGUGAAGCUAGGAAAAAGGAUUCCAGGAAGGAGCGAGUUUCUCUUUUUCAGGCUUAUACUCAUGAAUCUUGUCUGAAGCUUUUGAGGGCAGACUGCCAAGUCCUGGAGAAAUAGUAGAUGGCAAGUUUGUGGGUUUUUUUUUUUUACACGAAUUUGAGGAAAACCAAAUGAAUUUGAUAGCCAAAUUGAGACAAUUUCAGCAAAUCUGUAAGCAGUUUGUAUGUUUAGUUGGGGUAAUGAAGUAUUUCAGUUUUGUGAAUAGAUGACCUGUUUUUACUUCCUCACCCUGAAUUCGUUUUGUAAAUGUAGAGUUUGGAUGUGUAACUGAGGCGGGGGGGAGUUUUCAGUAUUUUUUUUUGUGGGGGUGGGGGCAAAAUAUGUUUUCAGUUCUUUUUCCCUUAGGUCUGUCUAGAAUCCUAAAGGCAAAUGACUCAAGGUGUAACAGAAAACAAGAAAAUCCAAUAUCAGGAUAAUCAGACCACCACAGGUUUACAGUUUAUAGAAACUAGAGCAGUUCUCACGUUGAGGUCUGUGGAAGAGAUGUCCAUUGGAGAAAUGGCUGGUAGUUACUCUUUUUUCCCCCCACCCCCUUAAUCAGACUUUAAAAGUGCUUAACCCCUUAAACUUGUUAUUUUUUACUUGAAGCAUUUUGGGAUGGUCUUAACAGGGAAGAGAGAGGGUGGGGGAGAAAAUGUUUUUUUCUAAGAUUUUCCACAGAUGCUAUAGUACUAUUGACAAACUGGGUUAGAGAAGGAGUGUACCGCUGUGCUGUUGGCACGAACACCUUCAGGGACUGGAGCUGCUUUUAUCCUUGGAAGAGUAUUCCCAGUUGAAGCUGAAAAGUACAGCACAGUGCAGCUUUGGUUCAUAUUCAGUCAUCUCAGGAGAACUUCAGAAGAGCUUGAGUAGGCCAAAUGUUGAAGUUAAGUUUUCCAAUAAUGUGACUUCUUAAAAGUUUUAUUAAAGGGGAGGGGCAAAUAUUGGCAAUUAGUUGGCAGUGGCCUGUUACGGUUGGGAUUGGUGGGGUGGGUUUAGGUAAUUGUUUAGUUUAUGAUUGCAGAUAAACUCAUGCCAGAGAACUUAAAGUCUUAGAAUGGAAAAAGUAAAGAAAUAUCAACUUCCAAGUUGGCAAGUAACUCCCAAUGAUUUAGUUUUUUUCCCCCCAGUUUGAAUUGGGAAGCUGGGGGAAGUUAAAUAUGAGCCACUGGGUGUACCAGUGCAUUAAUUUGGGCAAGGAAAGUGUCAUAAUUUGAUACUGUAUCUGUUUUCCUUCAAAGUAUAGAGCUUUUGGGGAAGGAAAGUAUUGAACUGGGGGUUGGUCUGGCCUACUGGGCUGACAUUAACUACAAUUAUGGGAAAUGCAAAAGUUGUUUGGAUAUGGUAGUGUGUGGUUCUCUUUUGGAAUUUUUUUCAGGUGAUUUAAUAAUAAUUUAAAACUACUAUAGAAACUGCAGAGCAAAGGAAGUGGCUUAAUGAUCCUGAAGGGAUUUCUUCUGAUGGUAGCUUUUGUAUUAUCAAACAGGUAUCUCUUCGUUAUCAGAAGAGUUGCUUCAUUUCAUCUGGGAGCAGAAAACAGCAGGCAGCUGUUAACAGAUAAGUUUAACUUGCAUCUGCAGUAUUGCAUGUUAGGGAUAAGUGCUUAUUUUUAAGAGCUGUGGAGUUCUUAAAUAUCAACCAUGGCACUUUCUCCUGACCCCUUCCCUAGGGGAUUUCAGGAUUGAGAAAUUUUUCCAUCGAGCCUUUUUAAAAUUGUAGGACUUGUUCCUGUGGGCUUCAGUGAUGGGAUAGUACACUUCACUCAGAGGCAUUUGCAUCUUUAAAUAAUUUCUUAAAAGCCUCUAAAGUGAUCAGUGCCUUGAUGCCAACUAAGGAAAUUUGUUUAGCAUUGAAUCUCUGAAGGCUCUAUGAAAGGAAUAGCAUGAUGUGCUGUUAGAAUCAGAUGUUACUGCUAAAAUUUACAUGUUGUGAUGUAAAUUGUGUAGAAAACCAUUAAAUCAUUCAAAAUAAUAAACUAUUUUUAUUAGAGAAUGUAUACUUUUAGAAAGCUGUCUCCUUAUUUAAAUAAAAUAGUGUUUGUCUGUAGUUCAGUGUUGGGGCAAUCUUGGGGGGGAUUCUUCUCUAAUCUUUCAGAAACUUUGUCUGCGAACACUCUUUAAUGGACCAGAUCAGGAUUUGAGCGGAAGAACGAAUGUAACUUUAAGAGGCAUUUCAUCCUUCAUGAAGCCAUUCAGGAUUUUGAAUUGCAUAUGAGUGCUUGGCUCUUCCUUCUGUUCUAACUUCACAGAGAAUGCAGUUGUCUUGACUUCAGGUCUGUCUGUUCUGUUGGCAAGUAAAUGCAGUACUGUUCUGAUCCCGCUGCUAUUAGAAUGCAUUGUGAAACGACUGGAGUAUGAUUAAAAGUUGUGUUCCCCAAUGCUUGGAGUAGUGAUUGUUGAAGGAAAAAAUCCAGCUGAGUGAUAAAGGCUGAGUGUUGAGGAAAUUUCUGCAGUUUUAAGCAGUCGUAUUUGUGAUUGAAGCUGAGUACAUUUUGCUGGUGUAUUUUUAGGUAAAAUGCUUUUUGUUCAUUUCUGGUGGUGGGAGGGGACUGAAGCCUUUAGUCUUUUCCAGAUGCAACCUUAAAAUCAGUGACAAGAAACAUUCCAAACAAGCAACAGUCUUCAAGAAAUUAAACUGGCAAGUGGAAAUGUUUAAACAGUUCAGUGAUCUUUAGUGCAUUGUUUAUGUGUGGGUUUCUCUCUCCCCUCCCUUGGUCUUAAUUCUUACAUGCAGGAACACUCAGCAGACACACGUAUGCGAAGGGCCAGAGAAGCCAGACCCAGUAAGAAAAAAUAGCCUAUUUACUUUAAAUAAACCAAACAUUCCAUUUUAAAUGUGGGGAUUGGGAACCACUAGUUCUUUCAGAUGGUAUUCUUCAGACUAUAGAAGGAGCUUCCAGUUGAAUUCACCAGUGGACAAAAUGAGGAAAACAGGUGAACAAGCUUUUUCUGUAUUUACAUACAAAGUCAGAUCAGUUAUGGGACAAUAGUAUUGAAUAGAUUUCAGCUUUAUGCUGGAGUAACUGGCAUGUGAGCAAACUGUGUUGGCGUGGGGGUGGAGGGGUGAGGUGGGCGCUAAGCCUUUUUUUAAGAUUUUUCAGGUACCCCUCACUAAAGGCACCGAAGGCUUAAAGUAGGACAACCAUGGAGCCUUCCUGUGGCAGGAGAGACAACAAAGCGCUAUUAUCCUAAGGUCAAGAGAAGUGUCAGCCUCACCUGAUUUUUAUUAGUAAUGAGGACUUGCCUCAACUCCCUCUUUCUGGAGUGAAGCAUCCGAAGGAAUGCUUGAAGUACCCCUGGGCUUCUCUUAACAUUUAAGCAAGCUGUUUUUAUAGCAGCUCUUAAUAAUAAAGCCCAAAUCUCAAGCGGUGCUUGAAGGGGAGGGAAAGGGGGAAAGCGGGCAACCACUUUUCCCUAGCUUUUCCAGAAGCCUGUUAAAAGCAAGGUCUCCCCACAAGCAACUUCUCUGCCACAUCGCCACCCCGUGCCUUUUGAUCUAGCACAGACCCUUCACCCCUCACCUCGAUGCAGCCAGUAGCUUGGAUCCUUGUGGGCAUGAUCCAUAAUCGGUUUCAAGGUAACGAUGGUGUCGAGGUCUUUGGUGGGUUGAACUAUGUUAGAAAAGGCCAUUAAUUUGCCUGCAAAUUGUUAACAGAAGGGUAUUAAAACCACAGCUAAGUAGCUCUAUUAUAAUACUUAUCCAGUGACUAAAACCAACUUAAACCAGUAAGUGGAGAAAUAACAUGUUCAAGAACUGUAAUGCUGGGUGGGAACAUGUAACUUGUAGACUGGAGAAGAUAGGCAUUUGAGUGGCUGAGAGGGCUUUUGGGUGGGAAUGCAAAAAUUCUCUGCUAAGACUUUUUCAGGUGAACAUAACAGACUUGGCCAAGCUAGCAUCUUAGCGGAAGCUGAUCUCCAAUGCUCUUCAGUAGGGUCAUGAAGGUUUUUCUUUUCCUGAGAAAACAACACGUAUUGUUUUCUCAGGUUUUGCUUUUUGGCCUUUUUCUAGCUUAAAAAAAAAAAAAGCAAAAGAUGCUGGUGGUUGGCACUCCUGGUUUCCAGGACGGGGUUCAAAUCCCUGCGGCGUCUUUGCUUUGACUACUAAUCUGUCUUCAGGACUCUUUCUGUAUUUCUCCUUUUCUCUGCAGGUGCUAGUUCUUGGAGUUUUGGGGAGGUGGGAGGUAACAGCACAAUAUCUUUGAACUAUAUACAUCCUUGAUGUAUAAUUUGUCAGGAGCUUGACUUGAUUGUAUAUUCAUAUUUACACGAGAACCUAAUAUAACUGCCUUGUCUUUUUCAGGUAAUAGCCUGCAGCUGGUGUUUUGAGAAGCCCUACUGCUGAAAACUUAACAAUUUUGUGUAAUAAAAAUGGAGAAGCUCUAAAUUGUUGUGGUUCUUUUGUGAAUAAAAAAAUCUUGAUUGGGGAAAAAAGAUGGGUGUUCUGUGGGCUUGUUCUGUUAAAUCUGUGGUCUAUAAACACAGCACCCAUAAUUACAGCAUAAUCUUCAAGUAGGGUACGGACUUUGGGGGAUUGGUGCGAGGGUAGUGGGUGAGUGGCCUACUAAAAAGCCCAGUAACCCCCACAGGAAAAUAGGGAACUUCUUUUUAAGUAGCCUCCUUUCCACUAUUUAGUAAUUGGCUGUGAGCUGGGCUGGGGGAGAAAUGGGGCGGGGUGUGUGUGUCAUUGGAAAGCUCUCUUUUUUGUUUUUUUGAGACAGUCUCACUUUGUCCCCCAGGCUGGAGUGUAGUGGCAUGAUCUCUGCAAACUGCAACCUCCACUUCUGGGGUCCAAGUGGUUGUCCUGCUUCACCCUCCCUGUAGCUGGGACUACAGGUGCACACCACCACGCCUGGCUAAUUUUUGUAUUUUCAGUUAGAGACGUGGUUUUACCAUAUUGGCCAGGCUGGUCUCAAACUCCUGACCUCGUGUGAUCCACCCGCCUGGGCCUCUGAAAGUGCUGGGAUUACAGGUGUGAGCCACCAAGCCUGGCCGAUCCUUUUAAGUUUUUAAACCAGUUAAGCUCUUUGGUUCCCCCUCAGAGUCCCAAGGUCCUGGGUCACUCAGGAUCACAUUUUCCUUUAAUCAGUUGUCACUGGUCCCCUUUUGUCCCUUUGAACGUGCUGUGGGAUUAGUAGCAGCAUCUGGCUGUUGGAAGGACUGGCUGGGAUCUCAGGUGAAAUACCCUCCCUGGCCCUCCUUACCCUUAAGAUCUCCCUGAAAAGUCAGACCUUGCUUAUUGGAGUUUGAGAUGCAUUCUAGUAAACCCAGACCUACCAGAGAGAGGGACCCACGUCUGAAGAAUCUUCCAGCCUGGGGAACCUGUGACUGGCCACACCCUUAGCCUAAUGGAGGGGCCUCAGAAGCAGAACUACCUUUUUUUUUUUUUUUAAUGGUAUUACAUUUUGCAAAUGGAGAGGUAGACUCUGAUUGGGCCCCUUUUGACAACGCAGCAGAGCUGAGGUUUGAAUCCUAGUCAGUCAACACUUCAACCCCUAUGUUGCUGUUUCUUCAAUGUCUAGAAUGUUCUGAUAGAUGAAGCAAUGGCCCGGCAGGUCAGCAGCACACCAACCCCCAACCUACCCAGCCUGUAUAGGCCUUGGCCACAGGAGCUUUCUCUUCCCUUGAAGUGAUCUAAUGGGGGAUGGGGUAUCUGUCUCGCUGGUUAUGAAAGAAGCUGAGCUAGGUGCUCUCCUAAGUUGCUUAAGUGUCUUCUGAAUUGAUGCCCAGUCAGUUUCGUAUGGAGAAAGGUCUCUGUUUUUCCAAAGCAGAAGGUUCUGUGGAAGCACAAAUACUUUACUGGAGAGCAAAGGAGUACGAGUAGGAAUUGGGGGCCACGCACAGUGGCUCACGCCUAUAAUCCCAGGACUUUGGGAGGCCGAGGUGGGCAGAUCACCUGAGGUCAGGAGUUCGAGACCAGCCUGACCAACAUGGAGAAACCCCAUCUCUACUAAAAAUACAAAAUUAGCCGGGCGUGGUGGCGUAUGUCUGUAACCCCAGCUAUUCGAGAGGCUGAGGUAGGAGAAUCGCUUGGACCCGGGAGGCGGAGGUUGCAGUGAGCUGAGAUUGCGCCACUGCACUCCAGCCUGGGCAACAAGAGCGAAACUGUCUCAAAAAAAAAAAAAAAAGAAGAAGAAAGGCUGGGCACGGUGGCUCAAGCCUGUAAUCCCAGCACUUUGGGAGGCCGA